rnacentral:rRNA from 1 species
CAUGGUUGUCGUCAGCUCGUGUCGUGAGAUGUUGGGUUAAGUCCCGCAACGAGCGCAACCCUCGACCUUAGCUGCCAGCAUUCAGUUGGGCACUCUAAGGUGACUGCCGGCUAAAAGUCGGAGGAAGGUGGGGAUGACGUCAAAUCAUCAUGCCCCUUAUGACCUGGGCUACACACGUGCUACAAUGGGCGGUACAAAGGGUCGCGAACCCGCGAGGGGGAGCCAAUCCCAAAAAAGCCGCUCUCAGUUCGGAUUGCAGGCUGCAACUCGCCUGCAUGAAGCCGGAAUCGCUAGUAAUCGCGGAUCAGCAUGCCGCGGUGAAUACGUUCCCGGGCCUU